rnacentral:rRNA from 1 species
UACGUUCCCGGGCCUUGUACACACCGCCCGUCACACCACGAAAGUGGGCAACACCCGAAGCCGGUGGCCUAACCGUAAGGAGGGAGCCGUCGAAGGUGGGGCUCGCGAUUGGGGUG